AUUGAACGCUGGCGGCAUGCCUUACACAUGCAAGUCGAACGGUAACAGGUCUUCGGAUGCUGACGAGUGGCGAACGGGUGAGUAAUACAUCGGAACGUGCCCGAUCGUGGGGGAUAACGCAGCGAAAGCUGUGCUAAUACCGCAUACGAUCUACGGAUGAAAGCGGGGGAUCGCAAGACCUCGCGCGGACGGAGCGGCCGAUGGCAGAUUGGGUAGUUGGUGGGGUAAAGGCUCACCAAGCCUGCGAUCUGUAGCUGGUCUGAGAGGACGACCAGCCACACUGGGACUGAGACACGGCCCAGACUCCUACGGGAGGCAGCAGUGGGGAAUUUUGGACAAUGGGCGCAAGCCUGAUCCAGCCAUGCCGCGUGCAGGAUGAAGGCCUUCGGGUUGUAAACUGCUUUUGUACGGAACGAAAAGGUUCUUUCUAAUAAAGAGAGCUCAUGACGGUACCGUAAGAAUAAGCACCGGCUAACUACGUGCCAGCCGCCGCGGUAACAC
rnacentral:rRNA from 1 species